GACGAACGCUGGCGGCGUGCCUAAUACAUGCAAGUAGAACGCAGUUGCGAACGGGUGAGUAACGCGUAGGUAACGGCCUCAUAGCGGGGGAUAACUAUUGGAAACGAUAGCUAAUACCUCAUACUGUGAGAUGGACCUGCGUUGUAUUAGCUAGUUGGUGAGGUAAAGGCUCACGAAGGCGACGAUACAUAGCCGAACUGAGAGGGUGAUCGGCCAACCUGGGACUUAGAAACGGCCCAGACUCCUACGGGAGGCAGCCGUAAGGAAACUUCGGGAAUGGACGGAAGUUAGACCGGGCAAAGCCGCGGGAGUGAAGAAGGUUUUCGGAUGUUAAAGCUCUGUUGUUUGAGAAGCGGUAUCUAACCAGAAAGGGACGGCUAACUACGUGCCAGCAGCCGCGGUAAUAC
rnacentral:rRNA from 1 species